rnacentral:rRNA from 1 species
GUGGCGAACGGGUGAGUAACACGUGGGCAAUCUGCCCUUCACUCUGGGACAAGCCCUGGAAACGGGGUCUAAUACCGGAUAACACUCCUGUCCUCAUGGGCGGGGGUUAAAAGCUCCGGCGGUGAAGGAUGAGCCCGCGGCCUAUCAGCUUGUUGGUGAGGUAAUGGCUCACCAAGGCGACGACGGGUAGCCGGCCUGAGAGGGCGACCGGCCACACUGGGACUGAGACACGGCCCAGACUCCUACGGGAGGCAGCAGUGGGGAAUAUUGCACAAUGGGCGAAAGCCUGAUGCAGCGACGCCGCGUGAGGGAUGACGGCCUUCGGGUUGUAAACCUCUUUCAGCAGGGAAGAAGCGAAAGUGACGGUACCUGCAGAAGAAGCGCCGGCUAACUACGUGCCAGCAGCCGCGGUAAUACGUAGGGCGCAAGCGUUGUCCGGAAUUAUUGGGCGUAAAGAGCUCGUAGGCGGCUUGUCACGUCGAUUGUGAAAGCCCGAGGCUUAACCUCGGGUCUGCAGUCGAUACGGGCUAGCUAGAGUGUGGUAGGGGAGAUCGGAAUUCCUGGUGUAGCGGUGAAAUGCGCAGAUAUCAGGAGGAACACCGGUGGCGAAGGCGGAUCUCUGGGCCAUUACUGACGCUGAGGAGCGAAAGCGUGGGGAGCGAACAGGAUUAGAUACCCUGGUAGUCCACGCCGUAAACGGUGGGAACUAGGUGUUGGC